rnacentral:rRNA from 1 species
AUUGAACGCUGGCGGCAUGCCUUACACAUGCAAGUCGAACGGCAGCACGGGUGCUUGCACCUGGUGGCGAGUGGCGAGCGGGUGAGUAAUAUAUCGGAACGUACCUUAUUGUGGGGGAUAACGCAGCGAAAGCUGCGCUAAUACCGCAUAAUCCCUAAGGGGGAAAGCGGGGGACCGUAAGGCCUCGCGCAAUUAGAGCGGCCGAUACCUGAUUAGCUAGUUGGUGAGGUAAAGGCUCACCAAGGCAACGAUCAGUAGCUGGUCUGAGAGGACGAUCAGCCACACUGGGACUGAGACACGGCCCAGACUCCUACGGGAGGCAGCAGUGGGGAAUUUUGGACAAUGGGGGCAACCCUGAUCCAGCAAUGCCGCGUGAGUGAAGAAGGCCUUCGGGUUGUAAAGCUCUUUUGUCAGGGAAGAAACAGCAGCUCUAACACAGUUUGCGAAUGACGGUACCUGAAGAAUAAGCACCGGCUAACUACGUGCCAGCAGCAGCCGCAG